GCCGCCAUCUUACUGUACCCACAACAGUCGCCGCAGCGAUCAUGGCAACUUCUUGCAAUUACGGUCGUACCAACCGUACUGGCAAGGUUACAGGGCCUAAAUUUAUACAGGUUUCGUCAUGAGGGCUACCCAGUGAAUAAUCUGUGCAGUGUGAUACGGCUGGGUGUACAGGUUACUUCACAGCUGCCUCGACAUACUCAAGAAAUGGGUGCAGAACCUGCGUAAUGCCCACAAACCUUGACUACCACAGCACCUCCAGAAAGUAAAGGCAUAUGUGUCACAUGGGAUUUUUAAAGGCAUUCACAGUAUAUAAUACCUUGUAUGAACUGUUGUAGAUCUAAGCAGCCUCUACAGUACACUCUCAGAAAUUAAAACUUGUCAUGGAACUGUGAUAAUUGUUUCAGUUAAUAGGCAUGCACAUAUACGCUAUAAGAAGAAAAUUAUUUAUUGAGAAUGCACUUCUCUGGCUACUCAUGUUGUUUACAUCUACUGUUGAUCACAUUCAUUUAUCACAUACAGUGAAACCUUCCUAUGUUGGACACCACGGUGCAGCAGAAGCGUGUCCUACUUAUAAAGGUGUCCGAGUUACAGAAUAUGAGGGAAACAAAAAAUGGAAAAGAUCACAGCUGUGUUGCCGGAAAUGUCCCCCUUCUUCAAUUUAUGGUCCUGAGUGGUACCUGGUGGCAGUGGUACCUCUACCCACUCUUCACUGAUAAUUAUUACUGAUUUUAGUAGAUUCAAUUCUGUUCAGAUUCCACUCAAUGGCAUUACCUCUGGAGCUUUUUGAGCAGCGAUGACUUGUCUCUGAAGCGUCAGCCCACUUUUCGUUGCUUUGGUGCAGUGUGCGUUCAAAGGCUCUAGACAAACCGAAGACAAAUGCUCACACAAAGAAUUACGAUGUACACUGACAGCACUUGUUUUUGGACUCAGAAAAACUAAAGCAACAAAAUUCCUGAGACCAGUAUAGGGGAAAAAAAGGGCGAAAGUCAAGGCUACUGGCUCGUUUUGGGUAUUUUUGGUGCAAAGAUGGGCCGGUAAUUUGGCCAGGGUUUUGUCCGACUUAGCAGGGAAAACCCUGUCCAACUUACGAGAUAGGGAGGUGUCCGAUAUAGAGAAUUUCGUCCCCGUGUAGUUUCAAUGGGAGCCUGCCCGUGCAAUGAAAUCUUGUCCGACAUGGGGAGUUGUCCGAGGUAAGGAGGUGUCCGACUUUGGAGGUUUUACUGUAUUAUAUUCUUAUAUAUUAUUAUUAUAUUAUCACAUAUUCGAUCACGUUAAAUUUAAAAUUUAGCAUAUAUGAGAAAAUAUCAGGAGGGGAGUUGCUAUUCAUUGCUCAUUCCAACCUAAAAUUGAGAGAGCGUACCUGACCAUUGUCAUUCCUAAAAUAUAUAUUGCCAUUGUAGCAAGGUCACAAAACAAUAAAUGUAGUCUUUUGUGACCUCCCUGCACGUUCGUUGUAUCCUGAAACGCAUAAGUGCAAGAAAUAAAUCUUGAA